AGCUUUGCGCAGUGGCAGUAUCGUAGCCAAUGAGGUUUAUCCGAGGCAUGAUUAUUGCUAAUUGAAGAGCCAAGUGGAAAACAGUUUCUUCCUUGAACGUUUAGGUACUGUAAAAGUAUGCUAAAUCUUGAAUGUUUCCCCAGAU
rnacentral:snRNA from 1 species